UGGCUCAGAACGAACGCUGGCGGCGUGGCUAGACAUGCUAGUCGAACGGACAUUAAUUAUUAAUGGUUAGUGGCGAAAGGGUGAGUAAUGAAUAGGUAACGUACCCCGUGCUUCGGGAUAGCGUCUCCCGGCUUCGGUCGGGAUUCCGAAAGGGGCGGUAAUACCGGAUAAUACCAUAUAUCGUCUGGUAUAUGGUCAAAGAUUUAUCGGCGCGGGAGCGGCCUAUUUCCUAUCAGCUUGUUGGUGAGGUAAAAGCUCACCAAGGCGACGACGGGUAGCGGGACUGAGAGGUUGGCCCGCCACAUCGGGACUGAGACACUGCCCGGACCUCCACGGAGGGCUGCAGUAACGAAUAUUGCGCAAUGGGCGAAAGCCUGACGCAGCGACGCCGCGUGCGGGAGGAAGUCCCUCGGGAUGUAAACCGCUGUCAGGGGUAAGAAAGUUCCGACACGUCGGAAUUGAUCUAACCCAGAGGAAGUCACGGCUAACUUCGUGCCAGCAGCCGCGGUAAGACGAAGGUGGCUAGCGUUGUUCGGUGUCACUGGGCUUAAAGCGUGUGUAGGCGGAAAGGUAAGCGUCUUGUGAAAUCCCUCGGCUUAACCGGGGAAUUGCAGGGCGAACUCCCUUUCUUGAGGCAAGCAGGGGUGCAUGGAACUCUUGGUGGAGCGGUGGAAUGCGUAGAUAUCAAGAGGAACGCCGGUGGUGAAGACGGUGCACUGGGCUUGUCCUGACGCUGAGACACGAAAGCGUGGGUAGCGAACGGGAUUAGAUACCCCGGUAGUCCACGCCGUAAACGAUGUCUACUAGGUUGUGGAGGUUCUGACACCUGCACGG
rnacentral:rRNA from 1 species